CCAAUAGCGUAUAUUAAAGUUGUUGCAGUUAAAAAGCUCGUAGUUGAAUUUCGGGACCAAUUUGUUGGUCGUGCCUCGGUACGUACUGGUAUUUUUGGUUUCUCCCUUCUGAAGAACCUCGGUGUCAUUAAUUUGGUGUCGUGGGGAAUCAGGACUGUUACUUUGAAAAAAUUAGAGUGUUUAAAGCAGGCAUACGCUUGAAUACAUUAGCAUGGAAUAAUGAAAUAGGACGUUUGAUUCUAUUUUGUUGGUUUCUAGGAUCGACGUAAUGAUUAAUAGGGAUAGUUGGGGGCAUUAGUAUUCAAUUGUCAGAGGUGAAAUUCUUGGAUUUAUUGAAGACUAACUACUGCGAAAGCAUUUGCCAAGGAUGUUUUCAUUAAUCAAGAACGAAAGUUAGGGGAUCGAAGACGAUCAGAUAUCGUCGUAGUCUUAACCAUAAACUAUGCCGACUAGGGAUCGGAUGAUGUUAAUUUUUUAAUGACUCAUUCGGCGCCUUACG
rnacentral:rRNA from 1 species